rnacentral:misc_RNA from 1 species
CGAGCGUCAUUACAACCCUCAAGCUUUGCUUGGUAUUGGACAUUGCCCGGUUUACCGGCAGGUCUUAAAAUCAGUGGCGGUGCCAUUUGGCUUCAAGCGUAGUAAUUCUUCUCGCUUUGGAGAUCCAGGUGGUUACUUGCACAAUCCAACCCAUUUUUCAGGUUGACCUCGGAUCAGGUAGGGAUACCCGCUGAACUUAA